rnacentral:tRNA from 1 species
GCCGAUAUAGCUCAGUUGGUAGAGCAAUGCCCUCGUAAAGCAUAGGUCAGCAGUUCGAUUCUGCUUAUCGGCUCCC